AUGUCCAGGAUGAAGGUUGGGUAACACCAACUGGAGGUCCGAACCCACACCUGUUGAAAAAGGUCGGGAUGAGGUGUGCCUAGGGGUGAAAGGCCAAUCAAACUCGGAGAUAGCUGGUUCUCUGCGAAAUCUAUUUAGGUAGAGCGUCAUCCGAAUACCCCGGGGGGUAGAGCACUGGAUGGGUAAUGGGGCCCCACAGGCUUACUGAUCCUAACCAAACUCCGAAUACCCGGGAGUACUAGAUGGCAGACACACGGCGGGUGCUAACGCCCGUCGUGGAGAGGGAAACAACCCUGACCUACAGCUAAGGCCCCCAAUUCGUGGCUAAGUGGGAAAGCAGGUGGGACGACCAAAACAACCAGGAGGUUGGCUUAGAAGCAGCCAUCCUUUAAAGAUAGCGUAACAGCUCACUGGUCUAAACAAGUUGUCCUGCGGCGAAGAUGUAACGGGGCUCAAGCCACGAGCCGAAGCUUAGGACGCGUGAGCGUGGUAGCAGAGCGUAGUGUGAUAUAGCUCCAUGUCUCUUUAGUCGUUGGUGCGUGCAAGCGCGCACCCUACGGCCUUGGAGACAAGGAGCUUUCUGUGAAGCCGGGGCGUGAGCCAUCCGGUGGAGAGAUCACUAGCGAGAAUGAUGACAUGAGUAGCGACAAAGAGUGUGAGAGACACUCUCGCCGGAAGUCCAAGGGUUCCUGCUUAAAGCUAAUCUGAGCAGGGUAAGCCGGCCCCUAAGCCGAGGCCGAAAGGCGUAGGCGAUGGGAACCAGGUUAAUAUUCCUGGGCCAGGAGGAUGUGACGGAUUGUGGCGGCGUGCGUGCCUUAUCGGAUUGGCGCGUAUCCAAGACAGUCCCUGGAAAUAGCCCUCCAUCGGACCGUACCCUAAACCGACACAGGUGGACUGGUAGAGCAUACCAAGGCGCUUGAGAGAACGAUGUUGAAGGAACUCGGCAAAAUACCUCCGUAAGUUCGCGAGAAGGAGGCCCGGGCCAUGAGGUCCGGGGGCACAAACCAGGGGGUGGCGACUGUUUACUAAAAACACAGGGCUCUGCGAAGUCGCAAGACGACGUAUAGGGUCUGACGCCUGCCCGGUGCCGGAAGGUUAAAAGGAGGUGUGCAAGCACCGAAUUGAAGCCCCGGUAAACGGCGGCCGUAACUAUAACGGUCCUAAGGUAGCGAAAUUCCUUGUCGGGUAAGUUCCGACCUGCACGAAUGGCGUAACGACUUCCCCGCUGUCUCCAACAUCGACUCAGCGAAAUUGAAUUGCCUGUCAAGAUGCAGGCUUCCCGCGGUUAGACGGAAAGACCCCGUGCACCUUUACUACAGCUUCGCACUGGCAUCAGGCUGGGCAUGUGCAGGAUAGGUGGUAGGCUUUGAACCCGUGACGCCAGUCGCGGUGGAGCCUCCCUUGAGAUACCACCCUUGCGCUGCUUGAUGUCUAACCGCGGUCCGUGAUCCGGAUCCGGGACCCUGCGUGGCGGGUAGUUUGACUGGGGCGGUCGCCUCCCAAAGAGUAACGGAGGCGCGCGAAGGUUG
rnacentral:rRNA from 1 species